CUACGGGUGGCUCCAGUGGGGAAUAUUGGACAAUGGGGGCAACCCUGAUCCAGCAAUGCCGCGUGUGUGAAGAAGGCCUGCGGGUUGUAAAGCACUUUCAAUAGGGAGGAAAAGCUUUGGGUUAAUACCCCGAAGUCUUGACGUUACCUUUAGAAGAAGCACCGGCUAACUCUGUGCCAGCAGCCGCGGUAAUACAGAGGGUGCGAGCGUUAAUCGGAAUUACUGGGCGUAAAGCGCGCGUAGGCGGUUUGAUAAGUCAGAUGUGAAAGCCCCGGGCUUAACCUGGGAACUGCAUUUGAUACUGUCAAACUAGAGUAUGGUAGAGGGUAGUAGAAUUCCUGGUGUAGCGGUGAAAUGCGUAGAUAUCAGGAGGAAUACCAGUGGCGAAGGCGGCUACCUGGACCAAUACUGACGCUGAGGUGCGAAAGCGUGGGGAGCAAACAGGAUUAGAUACCCCCGUAGUC
rnacentral:rRNA from 1 species